rnacentral:misc_RNA from 1 species
GACAGUGACGGGACCGGU